rnacentral:rRNA from 1 species
CCUACGGGAGGCUGCAGUGAGGAAUAUUGGUCAAUGGGCGGGAGCCUGAACCAGCCAAGCCGCGUGAGGGAAGAAGGUACGGCGUAUCGUAAACCUCUUUUGUCAGGGAACAAAGGCGGGGACUAGUCCCCGGAUGAGGGUACCUGAAGAAAAAGCAUCGGCUAACUCCGUGCCAGCAGCCGCGGUAAUACGGAGGAUGCGAGCGUUAUCCGGAUUUAUGGGGUUUAAAGGGUGCGCAGGCGGCCUGUUAAGUCACCGGUAAAAGCCCGGGGCUCAACCCCGGCGAGCCGUUGAAACUGGCGGGCUGGAGUUGGAGAGAAGUACGCGGAAUGCGCGGUGUAGCGGUGAAAUGCUUAGAUAUCGCGCAGAACCCCGAUUGCGAAGGCAGCGUACCGGCUCCACACUGACGCUGAGGCACGAAAGCGUGGGUAUCGAACAGGAUUAGAUACCCCAGUAGUC